rnacentral:rRNA from 2 species
UUAAGCGACUAAGCGUACACGGUGGAUGCCCUGGCAGUCAGAGGCGAUGAAGGACGUGCUAAUCUGCGAUAAGCGUCGGUGAGGUGAUAUGAACCGUUAUAACCGGCGAUUUCCGAAUGGGGAAACCCAGUGUGUUUCGACACACUAUCAUUAACUGAAUCCAUAGGUUAAUGAGGCGAACCGGGGGAACUGAAACAUCUAAGUACCCCGAGGAAAAGAAAUCAACCGAGAUUCCCCCAGUAGCGGCGAGCGAACGGGGAGGAGCCCAGAGCCUGAAUCAGUGUGUGUGUUAGUGGAAGCGUCUGGAAAGGCGUGCGAUACAGGGUGACAGCCCCGUACACAAAAAUGCACAUAUUGUGAGCUCGAUGAGUAGGGCGGGACACGUGGUAUCCUGUCUGAAUAUGGGGGGACCAUCCUCCAAGGCUAAAUACUCCUGACUGACCGAUAGUGAACCAGUACCGUGAGGGAAAGGCGAAAAGAACCCCGGCGAGGGGAGUGAAAAAGAACCUGAAACCGUGUACGUACAAGCAGUGGGAGCCUCUUAAUGGGGUGACUGCGUACCUUUUGUAUAAUGGGUCAGCGACUUAUAUUCUGUAGCAAGGUUAACCGAAUAGGGGAGCCGAAGGGAAACCGAGUCUUAACUGGGCGUUAAGUUGCAGGGUAUAGACCCGAAACCCGGUGAUCUAGCCAUGGGCAGGUUGAAGGUUGGGUAACACUAACUGGAGGACCGAACCGACUAAUGUUGAAAAAUUAGCGGAUGACUUGUGGCUGGGGGUGAAAGGCCAAUCAAACCGGGAGAUAGCUGGUUCUCCCCGAAAGCUAUUUAGGUAGCGCCUCGUGAAUUCAUCUCCGGGGGUAGAGCACUGUUUCGGCAAGGGGGUCAUCCCGACUUACCAACCCGAUGCAAACUGCGAAUACCGGAGAAUGUUAUCACGGGAGACACACGGCGGGUGCUAACGUCCGUCGUGAAGAGGGAAACAACCCAGACCGCCAGCUAAGGUCCCAAAGUCAUGGUUAAGUGGGAAACGAUGUGGGAAGGCCCAGACAGCCAGGAUGUUGGCUUAGAAGCAGCCAUCAUUUAAAGAAAGCGUAAUAGCUCACUGGUCGAGUCGGCCUGCGCGGAAGAUGUAACGGGGCUAAACCAUGCACCGAAGCUGCGGCAGCGACACUAUGUGUUGUUGGGUAGGGGAGCGUUCUGUAAGCCUGUGAAGGUGGCCUGUGAGGGUUGCUGGAGGUAUCAGAAGUGCGAAUGCUGACAUAAGUAACGAUAAAGCGGGUGAAAAGCCCGCUCGCCGGAAGACCAAGGGUUCCUGUCCAACGUUAAUCGGGGCAGGGUGAGUCGACCCCUAAGGCGAGGCCGAAAGGCGUAGUCGAUGGGAAACAGGUUAAUAUUCCUGUACUUGGUGUUACUGCGAAGGGGGGACGGAGAAGGCUAUGUUGGCCGGGCGACGGUUGUCCCGGUUUAAGCGUGUAGGCUGGUUUUCCAGGCAAAUCCGGAAAACCAAGGCUGAGGCGUGAUGACGAGGCACUACGGUGCUGAAGCGACAAAUGCCCUGCUUCCAGGAAAAGCCUCUAAGCAUCAGGUAACAUCAAAUCGUACCCCAAACCGACACAGGUGGUCAGGUAGAGAAUACCAAGGCGCUUGAGAGAACUCGGGUGAAGGAACUAGGCAAAAUGGUGCCGUAACUUCGGGAGAAGGCACGCUGAUAUGUAGGUGAAGCGACUUGCUCGUGGAGCUGAAAUCAGUCGAAGAUACCAGCUGGCUGCAACUGUUUAUUAAAAACACAGCACUGUGCAAACACGAAAGUGGACGUAUACGGUGUGACGCCUGCCCGGUGCCGGAAGGUUAAUUGAUGGGGUUAGCGGCAACGCGAAGCUCUUGAUCGAAGCCCCGGUAAACGGCGGCCGUAACUAUAACGGUCCUAAGGUAGCGAAAUUCCUUGUCGGGUAAGUUCCGACCUGCACGAAUGGCGUAAUGAUGGCCAGGCUGUCUCCACCCGAGACUCAGUGAAAUUGAACUCGCUGUGAAGAUGCAGUGUACCCGCGGCAAGACGGAAAGACCCCGUGAACCUUUACUAUAGCUUGACACUGAACAUUGAGCCUUGAUGUGUAGGAUAGGUGGGAGGCUUUGAAGUGUGGACGCCAGUCUGCAUGGAGCCGACCUUGAAAUACCACCCUUUAAUGUUUGAUGUUCUAACGUUGGCCCGUAAUCCGGGUUGCGGACAGUGUCUGGUGGGUAGUUUGACUGGGGCGGUCUCCUCCUAAAGAGUAACGGAGGAGCACGAAGGUUGGCUAAUCCUGGUCGGACAUCAGGAGGUUAGUGCAAUGGCAUAAGCCAGCUUGACUGCGAGCGUGACGGCGCGAGCAGGUGCGAAAGCAGGUCAUAGUGAUCCGGUGGUUCUGAAUGGAAGGGCCAUCGCUCAACGGAUAAAAGGUACUCCGGGGAUAACAGGCUGAUACCGCCCAAGAGUUCAUAUCGACGGCGGUGUUUGGCACCUCGAUGUCGGCUCAUCACAUCCUGGGGCUGAAGUAGGUCCCAAGGGUAUGGCUGUUCGCCAUUUAAAGUGGUACGCGAGCUGGGUUUAGAACGUCGUGAGACAGUUCGGUCCCUAUCUGCCGUGGGCGCUGGAGAACUGAGGGGGGCUGCUCCUAGUACGAGAGGACCGGAGUGGACGCAUCACUGGUGUUCGGGUUGUCAUGCCAAUGGCACUGCCCGGUAGCUAAAUGCGAAAGAGAUAAGUGCUGAAAGCAUCUAAGCACGAAACUUGCCCCGAGAUGAGUUCUCCCUGACUCCUUGAGAGUCCUGAAGGAACGUUGAAGACGACGACGUUGAUAGGCCGGGUGUGUAAGCGCAGCGAUGCGUUGAGCUAACCGGUACUAAUGAACCGUGAGGCUUAACCUU